CCAAAGGCUCUUUUCAGAGCCACCCACAGUCUCGAUAAGGAGCUGG
rfam:Colius striatus contig94671, whole genome shotgun sequence.